rnacentral:rRNA from 1 species
UCAACUUGAGAGUUUGAUCCUGGCUCAGAACGAACGCUGGCGGCAGGCUUAACACAUGCAAGUCGAACGCCCCUUCGGGGGAGUGGCAGACGGGUGAGUAACGCGUGGGAAUCUACCCAACCCUACGGAACAACUUGAGGAAACUUGAGCUAAUACCGUAUACGCCCUUUUGGGGAAAGAUUUAUUCGGGGGUGGAUGAGCCCGCGUUUGAUUAGCUGGUUGGUGGGGUAAUGGCCUACCAAGGCGACGAUCAAUAGCUGGUCUCAGAGGAUGAUCAG